rnacentral:lncRNA from 1 species
AAAACACGGCGAAUCUUUGAAUUAGUUCUGACCAUAAUUGUUCAACACUCACAGGCUUAUAUAUAAAUCUGUAAAUUACAUGUAGGUUGUAGCUGACUGUGAACUUUGAAAAAUAUAUGUACUCUCAUAUUUGUACCAUAUUUCCAUUAAUUUUCAAAUGUAGAUUGUAGAAAACUCCUAACUUCUGAGUAUAAUUGUUUAACACUCCCACGC